rnacentral:rRNA from 1 species
GAUGAACGCUGGCGGCGUGCCUAAUACAUGCAAGUCGAGCGAACGGACGAGAAGCUUGCUUCUCUGAUGUUAUCGGCGGACGGGUGAGUAACACGUGGAUAACCUACCUAUAAGACUGGGAUAACUUCGGGAAACCGGAGCUAAUACCGGAUAAUAUUUUGAACCGCAUGGUUCAAAAGUGAAAGACGGUCUUGCUGUCACUUAUAGCUGGAUCCGCGCUGCAUUAGCUAGUUGGUAAGGUAACGGCUUACCAAGGCAACGAUGCAUAGCCGACCUGAGAGGGUGAUCGGCCACACUGGAACUGAGACACGGUCCAGACUCCUACGGGAGGCAGCAGUAGGGAAUCUUCCGCAAUGGGCGAAAGCCUGACGGAGCAACGCCGCGUGAGUGAUGAAGGUCUUCGGAUCGUAAAACUCUGUUAUUAGGGAAGAACAUAUGUGUAAGUAACUGUGCACAUCUUGACGGUACCUAAUCAGAAAGCCACGGCUAACUACGUG